rnacentral:tRNA from 1 species
GAAUUUGUAUUUCAGUGGUAGAACUCUCACCUUCCAUGUGGGAGACCUGGGUUCGAUUCCUAGCCAAUGUA